rnacentral:rRNA from 2 species
CCACAUGACUCUCGGCAACGGAUAUCUCGGCUCUCGCAUCGAUGAAGAACGUAGCAAAAUGCGAUACCUGGUGUGAAUUGCAGAAUCCCGCGAACCAUCGAGUUUUUGAACGCAAGUUGCGCCCGAGGCCUUCUGGCCGAGGGCACGUCUGCCUGGGCGUCACGC